CUCAUUUCGUAUUUAGAUUCUAGUUUCUCGUACUUUUCACCUACUUCAUUGACGCUAAAGGUCACACUUACCCAAGAUCAUGUAUUUAAUCUCAAUCAUAACUUUUCUAUUUCACGGGGUAUAUGUCACCUUCUACUAACCAAGACAGAACGAGAUCACCUAAAGCUCAUUGUCUUUGUUAGUAUUUAGACUCUAGUUUCUCGUACUUUUCACUUACUUCAUUGACACUAACGUCAAACUUAUCCAAGAUCCAGUAUACAAUUUCAACAAUAACUUGUAUCCCUGACCAGCAACCAACAUUCACCAUCAGUAACUGAGAUGUGAAAGUAAGCAGGAAAUUGCAGAUAACACCAACAACUAAGAAUAAGACCAAAUGAACUAACUAUCAAGAGAACAUCAAAUUCAAGCAAAUUAGAGUAAAGUAGAUGUCAUCGACAAGGACACAUUUACGCUAUCCACCCUCAUCUGUAGACAGCAUAUCCCAUAUAAAAGAGUGAAUAAUCAUCAACAAAAUACACCAUCA
rnacentral:lncRNA from 1 species